GCAGUCGAGCGGCAGCGCGGGGGCAACCCUGGCGGCGAGCGGCGAACGGGUGAGUAGUACAUGGGAAUCUGCCCUGUAGUGGGGGAUAACUCAGGGAAACUUGAGGUAAUACCGCAUACGUCCUACGGGAGAAAGCGGGGGAUCUUCGGACCUCGCGCUAGAGGAGGAGCCCAUGUCCGAUUAGCUAGUUGGUAGGGUAAAGGCCUACCAAGGCGACGAUCGGUAACUGGUCUGAGAGGAUGGUCAGUCACACUGGAACUGAGACACGGUCCAGACUCCUACGGGAGGCAGCAGUGGGGAAUAUUGGACAAUGGGGGCAACCCUGAUCCAGCCAUGCCGCGUGUGUGAAGAAGGCCUUCGGGUUGUAAAGCACUUUAAGUGGGGAGGAAGGCUCGGGGGUUAAUAACCUUCGGGAGUGACGUUACCCACAGAAUAAGCACCGGCAAACUCCGUGCCAGCAGCCGCGGUAAUACGGAGGGUGCGAGCGUUAAUCGGAAUUACUGGGCGUAAAGCGCACGUAGGUGGUUCGUUAAGUCGGAUGUGAAAUCCAUGGGCUCAACCUGGGAGCUGCAUUCGAUACUGGCGGACUCGAGUACGAGAGAGGGGGGGUGGAAUUCCAGGUGUAGCGGUGAAAUGCGUAGAUAUCUGGAGGAACACCAGUGGCGAAAGGCGGCCCCCUGGCUCGAUACUGACACUG
rnacentral:rRNA from 1 species